rnacentral:rRNA from 1 species
GAUGAACGCUGGCGGCGUGCCUAAUACAUGCAAGUCGAGCGAACAGAUGAGGAGCUUGCUCCUCUGACGUUAGCGGCGGACGGGUGAGUAACACGUGGAUAACCUACCUAUAAGACUGGGAUAACUUCGGGAAACCGGAGCUAAUACCGGAUAAUAUAUUGAACCGCAUGGUUCAAUAGUGAAAGACGGUUUUGCCGUCACUUAUAGAUGGAUCCGCGCCGCAUUAGCUAGUUGGUAAGGUAACGGCUUACCAAGGCGACGAUGCGUAGCCGACCUGAGAGGGUGAUCGGCCACACUGGAACUGAGACACGGUCCAGACUCCUACGGGAGGCAGCAGUAGGGAAUCUUCCGCAAUGGGCGAAAGCCUGACGGAGCAACGCCGCGUGAGUGAUGAAGGUCUUCGGAUCGUAAAACUCUGUUAUUAGGGAAGAACAAAUGUGUAAGUAACUAUGCACGUCUUGACGGUACCUAAUCAGAAAGCCACGGCUAACUACGUG